rnacentral:rRNA from 1 species
UGGAGAGUUUGAUCCUGGCUCAGAUUGAACGCUGGCGGCAUGCCUUACACAUGCAAGUCGAACGGCAGCAUAGGAGCUUGCUCCUGAUGGCGAGUGGCGAACGGGUGAGUAAUAUAUCGGAACGUGCCCUAGAGUGGGGGAUAACUAGUCGAAAGACUAGCUAAUACCGCAUACGAUCUACGGAUGAAAGUGGGGGAUCGCAAGACCUCAUGCUCCUGGAGCGGCCGAUAUCUGAUUAGCUAGUUGGUGGGGUAAAAGCCUACCAAGGCAACGAUCAGUAGCUGGUCUGAGAGGACGACCAGCCACACUGGGACUGAGACACGGCCCAGACUCCUACGGGAGGCAGCAGUGGGGAAUUUUGGACAAUGGGGGCAACCCUGAUCCAGCAAUGCCGCGUGAGUGAAGAAGGCCUUCGGGUUGUAAAGCUCUUUUGUCAGGGAAGAAACGGUAGUAGCGAAUAACUAUUACUAAUGACGGUACCUGAAGAAUAAGCACCGGCUAACUACGUGCCAGCAGCCGCGGUAAU